CGUUAAAUCAAGAAGCAAUUGCAUCUGGGUACCCAAGAUUCGGAUAUUCAGGACAGGUUAGAGUUUAUCGUGAAAAUUUGGAUCCACCAUUCGUUUAUUUUUCCACCAA